AAUCUGCCUUGUUGUGGGGGAUAACGUAGGGAAACUUACGCUAAUACCGCAUAAGACCGUAAGGUGAAAGCGGGGGAUCGUAAGACCUCGCGCGACAAGAUGAGCCGAUGUCGGAUUAGCUAGUUGGUGAGGUAAUGGCUCACCAAGGCGACGAUCCGUAGCUGGUCUGAGAGGAUGAUCAGCCACACUGGAACUGAGACACGGUCCAGACUCCUACGGGAGGCAGCAGUGGGAAAUAUUGGACAAUGGGCGCAAGCCUGAUCCAGCCAUGCCGCGUGGGU
rnacentral:rRNA from 1 species